AUUGAACGCUGGCGGCAUGCCUUACACAUGCAAGUCGAACGGCAGCACGGGAGCAAUCCUGGUGGCGAGUGGCGAACGGGUGAGUAAUAUAUCGGAACGUGCCCAGUAGUGGGGGAUAACUGCUCGAAAGAGCAGCUAAUACCGCAUACGACCUGAGGGUGAAAGGGGGGGAUCGCAAGACCUUCCGCUAUUGGAGCGGCCGAUAUCAGAUCAGCUGGUUGGUGGGGUAAAGGCCUACCAAGGCAACGAUCUGUAGUUGGUCUGAGAGGACGACCAGCCACACUGGGACUGAGACACGGCCCAGACUCCUACGGGAGGCAGCAGUGGGGAAUUUUGGACAAUGGGCGCAAGCCUGAUCCAGCAAUGCCGCGUGCAGGAUGAAGGCCUUCGGGUUGUAAACUGCUUUUGUACGGAGCGAAACGGCUUCCACUAAUACUGGGGGCUAAUGACGGUACCGUAAGAAUAAGCACCGGCUAACUACGUGCCAGCCGCCGCAGUAAGAC
rnacentral:rRNA from 1 species